rnacentral:rRNA from 1 species
AUGGCCGACGCGGUACUGGGCAGCGUGACAAACGCUCUCGAUAUUGUGUUCAAGAUCAAACAUGCUGUGGAUACAGUUAAACGGAAUGAAAAGGAAUGCCAAAAGAUCAAGAGGCGUGUGGAGAGGGUCGGGCACACGCUCGCGUUGUGCCAAAAGGACGCGGAGCUAAUGAACCCCGAGGGGAGCGGCACUGCACUGGAGGCGCUGCGUGAGAUCCUCGCCGAGGCGCUCGAGCUCGUCACAGACUGCCAGGAAGAGACCAACAUGUGUUGUCUCCUCAUAAAGGCCGGGGAGAUGUCCAAGCAGCUCAACCAGGUGGACCAGAGUAUAUCUUGUAUAAACUCCGAGGUGUCGCUUGCCAUCAUGGUCUGCAUUGCGCCGCGCACCAAGCCACUUAAACUCUACCAAGUACCGGAUGGACAAGGCCGUUCGCUCCAAUUGGACAAACGAACACGGAGUGUACCACAUACAAUUUCUGAAGUUGCCGUUGAGAUAAAGGUAGCGUUGGACAAAGUUCAGAGGAACAAGGUAGAGUGCAAUGAAAUUGAAAAGCGUGUGAAUGGAGUCAACGCCCUCCUUUCACAGUUUGGAAAUACAGAACUCAUGAAGGACCCAUACAUGAGGGCUUCAAUAGAAAAGCUACAUACAACCUUUUGCAUUGCUCGCACACUCGUCAUGGUUUGUCAGAAAAGAAAUAUCAUUUUCAUCCGAUCUGGUUGGGAGUUGUCAAAACAGUUACAUGAGGUACUAGAGAAAAUUGAUCUUGCCCUUGAUGAGAUGAUCACCAUCAGUUCUGGCUAUGAAUGUACAGUGUGA